AGUAUGGAUCAAGUCAUCGUGAACAAGAACAUCUCUUCUUUCAUCUCGGCCUUGUGCAUGAUGUUUGGCAGCUAUUACUGCUUUAACAUUCAUUACCCAUCCACGCUUGCAUCGACCCUGGAAUUUCUACAGAGAUGUUUCUUCUCUAUUAAUCCGGAGAAGGGGACGAAAGUGGAACAAACAAAAACAAAACGGCUCCAUGUGAAUCCAAGAGUCCUUACUUUGAUUCAGGACCUCUCAGACCAUGAAUGGCGAGCUAUUUAAAAAGAUGUUCCUUCAAGUGACCGCAAUAGUGAACACCCAUAUGUUUCUCUAGAUGUUCUUCUAGAAGCAAUGCAGUUGCAUGUUAAUCUAAGCUUCUGUAACUUGGUUCAUGACCUUUUCAACCAUGAAUGGCGAGCUGUUUGAAAAGUUGUUCAAGUGACCGCGACAGUGAACACCCAUAUGUUUCUCUAGAUGUUCUUCCAGAAGCAAUGCAGUUGCAUGUUAAUCAAGCCUUUACCAUGAUUCACAAGCUCUCCAUGAAUGGCGAGCUGUUUAAAAAGGUGUUACUUCAAAGUGAUGGAGCCGAUGAACACCUAUAUCACCUUUUUUCGUGGCUCUAUAUUAACAAGGUUCACAUUUAUUCACUCACAAUCCCUCUCUCUCACAAACAGAAGU